AAUAUGGUAGGAUAAAGGUUUUAAAAAGUCUGUGAGAUUCAUAUUUUCGAGGUAAUCCAUAUUU
rnacentral:tRNA from 1 species